CUGAUAUAAUGCUUCCCAAUAUCAGUGUGACAACUACAGCCAGAGCCUUCCCUAAGGUUCUCUUAAUGAAAAGGCUACUACCAUCAUGACAGAAUGCAACAAAUGGCAACAUCCAGGGAUUUCUACAAGAGAUGCCCAACUACAACUAAUCAAACUGUGAAUGAGGCCCUGCUGUCCACAGAAAAUAAUGAUGCAAAUGCACUUUCCAGUUGUCUACAAUACUUAAAACAGAUAUUCAGCAUAUCUCUACUUAUUAGUAAACUGAACUACAUUCCUUAGUACGUAAAUGAUAUUAAAAUUAAUAUGCAUAUGCAGUGUGUACUCGGAACUCCUUUUAACCACUAAUAAAUACAUCAGAUGAUGAGAUGUUUACUUAAAAACAAAGAACCAACGUCUCAUACAAUUUUAAUUUUUUAAUAUCCACAUGGAAGUUUAU